rnacentral:SRP_RNA from 1 species
GCUGAGGCUAGUAGAUAUCUUGAGUUUGGGGAGGCUGAGGUUCAUGGAUCUCUUGAUCUUGGGAGUGCUGAGUUAGAGUGGGCUAGGCUAAUAGAGUAUCAGAAGUAAGUUUGGCAUUAAUAUGGUUCACCUCCAGAAGCAGGGGGUUACCAGAUUGCCCAAGGAGGAGUGAACCAGUCUAGGUCCAAAAUAGAGCAGGUCAAAGCUUCUGCAUCUAUCAACAGUGGAAUCUGCCCAGGAAUAGUCACUGUACUUUUAACAUGGACAACAUAGAGAGAACCAGUCUCU